AUUGAACGCUGGCGGCAUGCUUUACACAUGCAAGUCGAACGGCAGCGCGGGCUUCGGCCUGGCGGCGAGUGGCGAACGGGUGAGUAAUGCAUCGGAACGUGCCCAGUAGUGGGGGAUAGCCCGGCGAAAGCCGGAUUAAUACCGCAUACGACCUGAGGGUGAAAGCGGGGGACCGUAGGACCUCGCGCUAUUGGAGCGGCCGAUGUCGGAUUAGCUAGUUGGUGGGGUAAAGGCCUACCAAGGCGACGAUCCGUAGCUGGUCUGAGAGGACGACCAGCCACACUGGGACUGAGACACGGCCCAGACUCCUACGGGAGGCAGCAGUGGGGAAUUUUGGACAAUGGGCGCAAGCCUGAUCCAGCCAUGCCGCGUGCGUGAAGAAGGCCUUCGGGUUGUAAAGCGCUUUUGUUGGGAAAGAAAAGCACUGGGCUAAUACCCCGGUGCGAUGACGGUACCCGAAGAAUAAGCACCGGCUAACUACGUG
rnacentral:rRNA from 1 species